rnacentral:rRNA from 1 species
AACGAACGCUGGCGGCAUGCCUAACACAUGCAAGUCGAACGAGACCUUCGGGUCUAGUGGCGCACGGGUGCGUACCGCGUGGGAACCUGCCCUUAGGUUGGGAAUAACUCCCCGAAAGGGGUGCUAAUACCGGUUAAUGUCUUCGGACCAAAGAUUUAUCGCCUUUGGAUGGGCCCGCGUUGGAUUAGCUAGUUGGUAGGGUAAAAGCCUACCAAGGCGACGAUCCAUAGCUGGUCUGAGAGGAUGAUCAGCCACACUGGGACUGAGACACGGCCCAGACUCCUACGGGAGGCAGCAGUGGGGAAUAUUGGACAAUGGGCGAAAGCCUGAUCCAGCAAUGCCGCGUGAGUGAUGAAGGCCUUAGGGUUGUAAAGCUCUUUUACCCGGGAUGAUAAUGACAGUACCGGGAGAAUAAGCUCCGGCUAACUCCGUG